CUCCACCAUGUUACACACAGUGCUCACUGCUGAUUCUAAAAUGCGCCACCUAGUCAAAACAGGACAUAUGUUCUUCUAGGAAUAGAUCUCUUUCCAGUAUUUCGUCAUUCCACUAUCGUCAUCACCUCAUCAUACUUUCAUUGACAUUACAGGCACACAUCCACAGAGCACUCUUCAAAUCAUCUAGUGGUUAUCCAACUAGGAUUAUAAAGGCACACAUUGACAUAGACCACUGUUGCAAUCAACAACACAGUCGCUAUCCAAGUAGCAUUAUAGAGCUGUCAUGCAACGCAACAACUGUGCUAUCUGCCAUCGCACAUCAACGAAGAAGUGCAGCCGCCCACAUUCCACCUCACGUCUGUCCGACCAGCUGCAAUCCUCGAGGACGCCCCACUGUACCACGAUUUCACUACGAUGUUUGACAAGAAGGAGCAGUGCGCGAGAUAGGCUAAUGAGCAGACUUCCCUCGCUUGAGUUUCGGAAGAAUGUUCCAUAU